AACUGGUGGGGCGAAGUGAGAAGUGGAAAAGGUGUCCAUAAAAGCAACAAAACAGGAACAGCAUCACUCAGAUGCUCAGAACCAAAAGAUGUAAGAUUGCAAUCAGAUUGGAAAUGGUUAUAGAAAUGUUUAACAGCCCCUCAACUCUAUGCUAUAAUCAGGUCCUCGGUGAUAGGACAAGAGUCAUCUUUGCAACUCUGCCAGUAGUGGAGACCACUUGGGGAACGUGUGCACGUGGGCUUUCUCUUCUGUUUGCAGCAGUGAGGAUGCCCUUCCCUUUUUGCUGGGCUGGUGCUGGAGAGGUUGCAGAAAGGAAGGACUCCCCAGCGGCAUACCCAUUGGCAAGUGAGACUUCCGAGGAUCCCACGAAGCCUGGCUUGACAGUGCUUUCUGUGACAGCGAUUUUACAUCGAUCAAUCUGGGGACCCAGUGGGAAUCAGUGGCAGAAUUACCAGCGCAAGGCAAUUCCCAAUCUCCUUGGCCUGAAGCUGUUGCUCCGUAGAGGAACCAUCGCCCGACAUCCGAGAGACCAUGGACUCCACUCUCAGUACCGAGGAAACAAACAACCCGAGCAGGCCAGCAAGCCAAUAACUAAAAGCAUGGCUUCCUUUCUUUCCCAAGGAAGGCUGUAGAGACCAGCAGUCCUAGUCCCCAAGGUGGCAACUUUCUUCUGGCAACAUAUCUGAAGGCUAAGAGAAUGAGGAGGAGGGGCUUUGCCUGGUGCUACGGACUGUGGUAUGGUGAAGAGAAGAACCAACGCCCCUCCCUCUGCUCACUGGAUUGCCAGUGGGACUGCCAUGUUUUAGCCUCCCAGGGUGCAAAAUCACUAAUCUCCGUGUACACUGAGGAGGCUUAAUUCAGAAGGGGCUUCACUGUAAGUGAUACCUGUGAGACAUCGAACCCGGCCAGACAAUCGAGAAGGGAAUUUCAGACUUUGGAGACUGGGUGGGAAGAUUACAUACAUGGCCUUUGAGACUUCAGAAUCAAUGACUCCGAGUAGUCAUUCGAGAACAGUUCUGGAAAUGUUGAUUGUUGAAAUAAGCUGUGUGGAAUAGUUUCCAUUGGCCUCUCUGGGAGGCUUGCAUAGCAUCUUCUGACUCCAGAGAAUGAUCUGGACUAAACCUGAGAGCUCCUGCACCCUCAGUCUGGUGGAAAGCCCUGUGAGAAAUGGUGGGGAAGGAGGCAAAUGAGGCCAGGGUGUUUCAUCCUGAAUCUCUCUGUUCCUGUGGCUCCUGUGGCUUCUUCAUGAACCGCACUCCUUAAUCUCUCUAGGCAUAGUGUGCUGGUUCUGAGUCUUCACUGUCCUUUCCCACCGCUGAAGCCUAGAGGUAGGUGGGAGGUGCUCAGCUAUUGCUGCUGAUCUUGGGUCUCUGGCUGCUCUGCAUCUUGUUGUUCCCUUUAUUGGCUGCAGUGUUGUAAGUAAUCCCUUUGCUAGACUAUAGCCAACCAGCCUGUGCAUGUAUGUGUGCAUAUGUGUGCAUGCAUGCUCUGUGUGUGUGUGUGUGUGUGUGUGUGUGUGUGUGGAGAGAGAGAGAGAGAGAGAGAGAGAGAGAGAGAGAGAGAGAGAGAGAGAGAUUUAGUUUUCCCAAUAUGCUGACAGAUCCACCUGUCUAAAUAGGUAAAGUAAAGGAUGUAUGAUGUGCGCCUCUUUCUGAGUUCUGAGAACGUCUAAAGAAGUAGAAGGUAGGGUAAAAUAUUCUAAAAUAAAAACUGGCCAGUGUCUCUGGGCAAAACCUCUUUCUUAAAAAAUGUUUUUCAAAACAAAUUUCAUUGCAACUUCAUCAUCAAGAGUACAGAAGUCAGACCAUAAACAAUCAAUUCUUACCAGCAAUCAAUUCUUAUGUUCAUCAUCUCCUUCAAAUGUAACAUUAAACAUUAGUAAGCCAAACUUCCAAUACUGGGGAGUAUGGAAAAAUACAAUAGAAAUAUUCUAGAAUCAGGACCCUUGGUCUUUGUUUUGGUACACGUGGCCCAGAAAAACAGACCUCUUAAUUCUUAUGAACCAUCCUUACCAUCCUUUCCUCAUUGAUAAAAUUUAGGGAUUGGGCCCCUUGGUUCUUAAUCAACUUGUAGCUCUAAUAGACUAUGUGAUUAACUGGGCACAGAAGGAAGCCAUAGUGUAGUUUAGGAACAGGGACAACACUUUGUGCAGAGUGAAGACUGGAGAGUGUGGUGUGUAGUAUAUGGGUAGUAUUAGCAUAUGCUGUGGGAUGGGGGGGGGAAGGCACUGAAAUAGAGAAAUUCAUGGUGUGACUUGGGAUAUUGUUUGAUGGAGCAGAAUCAGAAAGCAAUGGCAGCUCUCCAUGGUGACAGGAAUGCAGGCUCUAAGUUCAGUUGGCACUGGAGUCAAGCCAUACCUGUUUAAUGAGCUGUGUGAAACUCUAUAAGGAAAAGUACAGAGGGUCACAGUUUGGAGAUGUGUUCCUAAAGGCUGGUUGUAUUAAGGUGGCCGCUCUCUCCUCCUUAAGUUCUUGAGUGAGGUUGAAUGACAGUUCAGCCUCUAAGGUCACUUCUAUGAUGGAAUCCUAGAAGCCCAUAAGUCGGGCUGUGUUCUCAGGGAGUUUAGGAUUUCUUAGAAGGUAGGAUGCUGGCUUCCAUGAAGCAAGAGGUGGUGACAUAGAAGAGACCAAGAGAAGGAUGACGGGGAGAAAGGGGCAGUAGACAUCUUCACCCUCUUUCCAAGCCUUCUCUUAUGGCCCAAUGACAUCUCCCUCCUCUUCUGAAUUAGCUUAGACGAGUAGUGUCAUGUGUACUUUGCUAGUCAUUGUGGCUAUUGACAAAUAUUCAAGGAUUCCUUUCUGUCCAGAAAAGAUUUAGUUUAUGUGGGACCUAAAGCAAUAUAUGAAAACAUAAAAUACC
rnacentral:lncRNA from 1 species